AGUUCACUUUGAUUCUUCCUUCCACUGCUUCAAAUUCCUCUUCUAAAUCCUUCCAUGGCGUCUCGGGGUAACAAGAGGCCUUCUAUCACCAAUGGCGAUGACAAUUUAGGCGUCCUGUCUAGGGUUUCCCGUUCCGUCUCUGAUUCCCAAAUCGUCCGACGGGCGAAGAGCACAGCUUCCGACGCUGCCUUCGUUACCCAAAAACUCCUCCGUAGCACCGGUAAAGCUGCUUGGAUUGCUGGGACGACUUUUCUCAUCUUGGUGGUGCCACUCAUCAUUGAGAUGGAUCGCGAACAGCAGUUCAAUGAGCUCGAGAUGCAGCAGGCGAGUCUACUUGGUACCCCGGCCACCGCUGCUCCUAAAUGAUUUCCUUGAUGAUGGCUUCAGGUUAAGGCU
rnacentral:misc_RNA from 1 species